rnacentral:rRNA from 1 species
UGGUAGUGUAUUGGACAACCAUGGCAGUCACGGGUAACGGGGAAUUAGGGUUCGGUUCCGGAGAGGGAGCCUGAGAAACGGCUACCACAUCUAAGGAAGGCAGCAGGCGCGUAAAUUACCCAAUCCCGACUCGGGGAGGUAGUGACAAGAAAUAACAACCCAAAUGGUUUUUCCAUUAUGGGAUUGCAAUGAGAACAAUUUAAAACACUUAACGAGGAACAAUUGGAGGGCAAGUCUGGUGCCAGCAGCCGCGGUAAUUCCAGCUCCAAUAGCGUAUACUUAAGUUGUUGCAGUUAAAAAGCUCGUAGUUGAAUUUCUGGUUGAGCACUGACUCGGCUUUUGUCAGUUAGUUGUUUAAUCAUCCGUCUGCAAAUCUGGUCAGGCCUUAACUGGCUCAACCAGUGGAGUAGACAUUUUACCUUGAAAAAAUUAGAGUGUUUCAGGCAGGUAAUCGCCGGAAUACAUUAGCAUGGAAUAAUGGAAUAGGACUUUGGUCUAUUGUUGGUUUCUAGACCCGAGUAAUGAUAAAUAGGAACAGUUGGGGGCAUUAGUAUUUAAUUGUCAGAGGUGAAAUUCUUGGAUUUAUUAAAGACUAACUUAUGCGAAAGCAUUUGCCAAGGAUGUUUUC